rnacentral:rRNA from 1 species
UACGAAGGGGGCUAGCGUUGCUCGGAAUCACUGGGCGUAAAGCGCACGUAGGCGGCUUCUUAAGUCAGGGGUGAAAUCCUGGAGCUCAACUCCAGAACUGCCUUUGAUACUGAGAAGCUUGAGUCCGGGAGAGGUGAGUGGAACUGCGAGUGUAGAGGUGAAAUUCGUAGAUAUUCGCAAGAACACCAGUGGCGAAGGCGGCUCACUGGCCCGGUACUGACGCUGAGGUGCGAAAGCGUGGGAAGCAAACAGG